GGGGGAUUAGCUCAAAUGGUAGAGCGCCCGCUUAGCAUGCAGGAGGUACCGGGAUCAAUACCCGGAUUCUCCA
rfam:Nematostella vectensis strain CH2 x CH6 NEMVEscaffold_326_Cont23927, whole genome shotgun sequence.